GCUCCGUUCGUCUAGCGGUCAGGACGCCGCCCUCUCACGGCGGAAACAGGGGUUCGAUUCCCCUACGGAGUACCA
rnacentral:tRNA from 1 species